rnacentral:lncRNA from 1 species
CAACUUCUUCCCAAGCUCGUACCAAUAUGGAAGCUUCACCAAGCAGUCAAAUUUUUCUGUGUGAUCUUUGGAAGAGAAACGUAAUAUUGCAAGUUGUGAGUUCAAAACAAUGUUCACAACACCUGUCAAGUUUCUCUCCUCUGGCUAGUUCUCAGCCAAGUUGUCACCCACUUGGAAGAGAGUGAAACUAAAAUAGUUUAUUACCAUCUACUGCGCUACUAAGUACUGG